rnacentral:rRNA from 1 species
GACGAACGCUGGCGGUGUGCUUAACACAUGCAAGUCGAACGGUAAGGCCCUUUCUGGGGUACACGAGUGGCGAACGGGUGAGUAACACGUGAGUAACCUGCCCUCAUCUCUGGGAUAACAGUCGGAAACGGUUGCUAAUACUGGAUAUGAGCCUGCAAGGCAUCUUGUGGGUUGGAAAGAUUUUUUGGUUGGGGAUGGACUCGCGGGCUAUCAGCUUGUUGGUGAGGUAGUGGCUCACCAAGGCUUCGACGGGUAGCCGGACUGAGAGGGCGACCGGCCACAUUGGGACUGAGAUACGGCCCAAGCUGCUACGGGAGGCAGCAGUGGGGAAUAUUGCACAAUGGACGGAAGUCUGGUGCAGCAGAGCCGCGUGCGGGAUGACGGCCUUCGGGUUGUAAACCGCUUUCAAUUGUGACGAAGCUUUUUGUGACGGUAGCAGUAGAAGAAGCACCGGCUAACUACGUG